rnacentral:rRNA from 1 species
CCUACGGGUGGCAGCAGUAGGGAAUAUUGCUCAAUGGGGGAAACCCUGAAGCAGCAACGCCGCGUGGAGGAUGAAGGCUUUCGGAUUGUAAACUCCUUUUGUUAGAGAAGAUAAUGACGGUAUCUAACGAAUAAGCACCGGCUAACUCCGUGCCAGCAGCCGCGGUAAUACGGAGGGUGCAAGCGUUAUCCGGAAUCACUGGGCGUAAAGAGCGCGUAGGCGGGAUAGCAAGUCUGAUGUGAAAUCCAAGGGCUCAACCACAGAACUGCAUUGGAAACUGUUAUUCUAGAGUAUGGGAGAGGUAAGUGGAAUUCUUGGUGUAGCGGUGAAAUGCGUAGAUAUCAAGAGGAACACUCGUGGCGAAGGCGACUUACUAGAACGUAACUGACGCUGAGGCGCGAAAGCGUGGGGAGCAAACAGGAUUAGAUACCCGAGUAGUC